rnacentral:other from 1 species
CUUCCUGGGAUGUCCGAGGCUCCCACUUAUUUUUGAACCUACAUUACUUUAAACGGGAUUCCUACAUUGUCUCAUGGAUGUCAGGCCGUCAUUGCGCAGCGGAAGGCAGAAGUGUGACUGCGGUUGCCCACCUAGCAUCAGCUAGGAGUCAAAAGGUGGGAAACGGCAUUCUGGGAG